rnacentral:rRNA from 1 species
UACGUAGGUGGCAAGCGUUGUCCGGAUUUAUUGGGUUUAAAGGGUGCGUAGGCGGUCUAUUAAGUCAGUGGUGAAAUAUCGCAGCUUAACUGUGAGGGUGCCAUUGAUACUGAUGGACUUGAGUGAAGUCGAAGUAGGCGGAAUUGACGGUGUAGCGGUGAAAUGCUUAGAUAUCGUCAAGAACACCGAUAGUGAAGACAGCUUACUAGGCUUAUACUGACGCUGAGGCACGAAAGUGUGGGGAUCAAACAGG